rnacentral:lncRNA from 1 species
GUCACGUGCUAGUUCUACUGUUGGUGUUCCAGGGAAUCUCCGUGUGGUUUUCCACGCUGGCUGUGCUGAUUUACACUCCCACAACAGUGCAAGGGCCCCUUUCCUCCCCCUGCUCGCCAGCGGUCACCUUCAGUCUUCUUGGCAAUGGCCAUUCUCACUGGAGCCUGGUGAGGGCUCACGGUGGUUCUGAUCCUGAGUCCCCAGGGUUCAGUGAUCAUGAGCAGUUUUUCACAUACCUAUUGGUAUUUGAAUGUCUUCAUUUGAGAAAUAUGCUUAGUUCUAUUGUCCA